GCAGUUGAGUUCGAACUCCAGUGCUGGAAUAGCGCCUCGUUGUAUAUCUCUCAUGUGCUCUACAAUUGGUGACUGCGGACGUCUGGAUCUACGCGAAACUUGUUCCUAGUAAAACGCGCCACACAAAAAGGAAGUGGAGCCAAGUCGAACACCGAGAACGAACGCCAGCAAGAUCCGACCAACCCUGAAGCCUCUGAGCCCGCCUAAACCGCUGCGGUUGCCUCGAACGUCAUACGCCUGCCAGAAGUUUGGGAGCGGAAGCCGACUGCGUGGUUCAUCCAAGCGGAGGCCCGUUUCGAACUCUCGCUGAUUACGUCACAGACCCAUAUAAGGCAUCACGGGACGGAGAGAUUUUGCCAGAGCACUCGCCAGGAUGCUUACGUAUGCUGCGGUCCAAGGCUCGAAUCACGAUUACCGUGUUUGUGGUUUGAGCGAGCUCAUGGACUUGUUCAAUGUGGCAUGACCACAUGCGAAUCAUGGGAGAGGUUGAUGUAACGAAAUUUAAUAAGCAGCGUUCAUCUCCGAAUCUCCGUGAGAAUGUUUGCAGACGAGCACGCACCUGUGCUGCUGCUUCUCCUCCUCUUGCGUCCGAUGGGACCACCGAGCACCGGGAGCGCAACAGAGGCCUUCGGCGCGGCAGCAGCAGCAGCCAGCCAGCCAGCCAGCCAAGCCGGCGAGCGGCUCGGGCUGCGGCAGCGCUCGCCCGCUCCUCUUCCCGGCGGGAUCGAUUCGAACGCGCGCGCGCUCAGGCCCCGGGCCCGCGCACUGGCCGAACGAACCCCGCUUCGGUCUCGACGCACGCACAGCGCGCGCGCGGACGCUGCGCUGCCACUCGCGGCUCGGCGCGCUCACCUGCCUGUAGGAGCGCGCGCGCGCGCCCCGCUGGAAGCAAGGAGUGCGGAAUGCGCCUUCCGACCGCGUCUCGGAGCAUCGCACCAGCUCGGAUACCCGGUAAUCUGCUGAAGACUUCGACUGUGGCUCCGUUCGAGUCUGCUGCCGUUCUGACUGAGCAAAAGAGCAUCUAGAGCUGCCACGGAAACGCAGCUCUGGAGCGCAUGUCGUUGCGUCCCCUCAUACUAGGUAGCCACGGGCGUUGUAGGCAAUUUAGGCUGCAGCUUCAGUUGCACUGACUACAGGAAUGAGUGUCUGAAAGCACGCGAUAUGAAUGCCGGAAUGUGACUCCGGAUUUCACCUCGUGGCAGACUCUCUUCUUGAAGACCUAAGAGCUCCCGAGAACUUCAGCCGUGCCACGGAUUGCUUCGACAGCCAGAGGGAGUGUGCCAUUCUACGUCUGAAAGGGCUGCUGACGAAGCCAAGAUCCCGACGCCAUCUUUUUGGCCUUACGCCCUUCAGUAUUGGGAAAAUUGCUAAAUUAUGCGACCUCCGGCGUGCCAGUGCAUGAGGAAGCGUUAAAGACCGCAGCUCACGACUGAGUAAAGUUUCUUAGGUCUCACGCCCAAGAAUCAACUGUGGUGUUGUGCGCACAGGAAAGGUUUUCAAAAAGACACUUCAGAGAAACCGACGCAUUGUUGUCACUUCGAGGCAGGGUUUCUUUCUGAACGACAUCGCGCGCAGGUCGCAGCGUACCACGUCCUAAACGCCAGCUGAAGUCUCCGUAACAAGGUGUGGUGGCCAAAAAUUAUGCGUUGCUCAUUGUCAAUACAUUUUAGUGCACCAAAUAUUCUCCACCUUCAACGCUGACUAGAACCGAAAGUCGUGUUGGCGUUCGCACCACCACUCUUUCAGAUUUUCCAAAGAGAAUCUGGCAUCCAGAAAAGUUGCUCAAGUGUGCGAUGGUCCAUGGAGUAACCGACAACGGGUUGAUGCAUCAGUGAGUGUUGUGCGUAAAGUAGCUUGUGUUUGAAACCGACGAAGCAUUGCAAGCAAGUGGUGUUAAGCGUCUUCGGUGCCGCCAGACGUGCCUGUUGGAGAACUUAUUGUGUCAUCGCUUCGCUGGAGCAUAUGACAGUAUCUCGCGUGUUCAAUGCUGCACAUUUCCAUCAUACAUUACUCUUAAGGCAAACUGUAGCCUUUAAGGUGAAGCCAACAAAACAGGGCAAGUUGCUGGCUUCUAUGUGUUACAGUGUGUGGAUUGUGCUCCAGUGUUGAAGCCACCAUUUUGACACAUUGGCUCUGGUUUCUCGGCAAGGACUGGACAGCACACUUGUGUCCCCAGUGCUCUUAAUCACCACGGUAUUGAGAGAACGUGCUCAACGCUCACUUGCGGGGGCACGUUUUAGUCGACGGCUUCUCUCUGAAACUCUGAGAAUUCAGCCCAGCGUAAUCGAUAGCUUUUUAUAGAGACCUUCUUCUACCUUGCUUUGUCCUAGCUUCCGUGUAAUUUGUCUGAACAGUUUGUUCUGUGACCUGUCAGCGCUGGCCUGUAUCCAUAGGGCGUAGAUUAACACUAUACGUGGAAGGCUGGCAUUCAGUCGACUUCUCUGCUUUAAGAUUGAAGCGUGUAGAGCCGAUUUGGAAGGCCUGAAAGGAAUGUUUGCUAACCAACUGUACUUCCAGGUAGAAACAAAAAUCUUCAUCGCUAAAUGUAUCGAAAGGCAUCUUUAGCUCUGGCAAUGACUGACGAUUAAUUUCGUCGGCCAACCUGUUGCCGAGAAGUCGUUAGUAACAGCUGCACUUCGCUCGCUAUCGAACACCGCCUGCUUUCAACAGGCUCUGGUAAGAAAGGGCAAAAGUGCGUCAGCUGCAAUUUGUCUUUAUCUUGAGUGGUAGUGAAAGGUUUGUCGCAGUCGCUGCUGUGCAGUCAGAGUCGUGAAAAGGUUUGACGGACAUUUGUUAUUGGUACUCAGAUCUUACUCCAGCUCAGUAUGACAGAUCCGUACAUCAGCUCAAACCUUUUAUUGGCCCUUCAGUCCUGUAGUCUCACUGUAUGGCUACUUUUUUCAGGCUAAUAUAAAGCUUAAGCGCACAAGAAAUUAUUUGAAACGUAAAUGAGGAAUCAUUCGGGCACUCCUUCAGAGGUUCCUUCGCUAAUAAGCUCAAUAUUUGCGCUGAAAACAAUGACUAGAACCAUAGCCACUCUUAAAGCACAAAUGGUCCACCAUUUGCUGCCGAAUUAAGUUGUGCAACUUGUUUCUGAAACACGCAGCUGCCAUUGUGCUUGAGGCAGCAGAGGAUUGCUUCGCAAUAGGGGAAGUUUCCCGACGUAGUCACGUAGUCCACGCAGAUAUUUGUCCACAUGCAGCCCUAAAAAACAAAUAAUGGAAGAUUUGGCUCACGUACCCUCCGGUAACCUCCGGAUAGCAAAGGCCUAAACUAACGCCCAAACAAUUAACGCACUCUGACUACGUGAGAGUGUUUUGUUUUUAGGGAAAGACAACUAUCCUUAAAAAGUAAGAGAAACGACCUGGGAGAAGAAACAUAUUGUGCAGUUUUUGUAAAGUAGUCAGGCGAUCGAAACGGAAACAGUGCACUGGCAUCACUCUCUGCGUUACCCGACGUUCCAGCGACGAGACCAGUUUGUGAAUAAGGAGUGAGAGAUUGCCAAAACAUAAAGCUGAGCCAAAAAAAAAAAAGGAAGAGAGAUCCUUUCGCCAUUGAACUGACGUGUGCGCGUCGUGGUUGUGCUUGGUGCUUUUUUUCCGAACUGCUGCUACUCGUGAGUGCGUUGCUCUGUGCGCGCCGUGUGCAGUGUGCCGCUCUGUGCUGGUGCAUCCGUGCGCGACGGCCCCACGUGCGCGUGCCGGAGAGUGCUUCGAGGUAAACGACACGUUUUAUCGCUCCACCCGGCCGGCCCCAGAGGACGAGGCAGGCGGGCUACGAAGCGACGCUCAGCUCGCCAAGCACAAGCCUUCUCGCCUCUCCCGACUAUCGUUCACAGGAGUUAAGGGGGGAGGAGCGAAGAACGCCAAUCUUGCAAGUCCCAAGCGCCAUAGAUGUGCAGCUAAGCGCGCAGAAGCCUUUGUUGUGCAAAAAGAAAGGAGGCAAGCACAGAGAUCUCAUCCAAGCCAUCCAUUGCACAAAGGUCCGCGUUUCGGCAUACUUGAAGCCAACGGAGAAGGAUAUCUUGAAAAAAAAAAGAAGACCUCCUAAGACGUAUCUAAAUUGUUCAAUCCGCUUUUAAACUUCUUUAGUGCAUGUUUGGCUUAGCGUCUCUUUUGAGGUGUAGCCAUUGUUCGCCUCGCGCACGAAGUUAGGUGUAGUGAAAUAUUGCUCUCUUAGGAAUAUUGCCCAUCCCGUUAUUCGCUUGAGACGAAACGUUGUUGAGGAGCACAUAGAGAUAGAUGCCU